UCUCCCCCACGUGAGAGCCGCACGAGGAGCAAGGCAGGCCCGGGAAAUGUCAGUCCUGCGUGUGAUUUUACACCGCCCCCUGCGGCCUGCGUGUCGCCUCGUGGGUCAGCGCCUCCUCUGCGCCUGUGUCUUUCUCCCUGAAGGCAAGGGCUCUGUUUUGUCCUAUUUUUGUGUCUCUGGCGUUUGGCUGAUUCAUCUGAGGUGUUGGGGAGAUUUUUGUGGAAGGAUGAAUAAAGAGAUGUUUGUGGAUGGAAUGCAAAUGGAAACGUUGCCUACCCGUUGUUGCUUUGAGUGUCAAAUGAGAAGUGGCUAUAAAAGCUUAGGACAGUCCCUUCUUUUCACAUUUUCCCACAGAUCCUCACCCCUGUGGCAGGAGGUGGCGUGUUCCUGCCUUUACUUACAUUAUCUUCUUUCCCUCUGGGUAUAGGAACGAAUGGAGGGGACCAUUUGAACCUCAACAUCCAUUCGGAAUCUGAGUCUUACUCCCUCUUCUUCCGGCUCCCAGGUACCCGAGGAGAGCUGGGUCUCCGGCAGUGACGGGUUUGAGUUCUGCAGACCACUCCUGUGGGCAUGGAGACGGCAGGGACUCUUGAGCAAGAGAGGGUCAGCCAGUCGGUCCAUGUUUCUGAGGUCCACCACCGGCCUGGUGCUGGGCUGGAGAGCCUGGGGCCCCCGAAAUUCCUUCCUUCAGAAGCUCAUCGUUUCUUGAGUGUGAGGGACAGACAUGUAAACAAGGAACAAGAACAUGGUUUGGGGAAAUGCCCUGGCCACUCCAGGUGAUGCAGCCUGCUGAGCAUGCUGGAACGGCUCCCGGCAGGGGAUCAGGCUCCCGCCCCGCCCCAAGUACCGCGAGAUCACGUGGCGCGGCUACCAUGGCGGCGGCGUUUGAAGCCCCGG